rnacentral:lncRNA from 1 species
AAGAACUCGCUUGCUUUUGAAGUUUUGAUUACGAUUGGUCACAAACAGAUAUCUUUUUCUGAUUUGAAGAAUAUGGAAACAUCUUUCGCAGGUUUUUGGCUAAUUUCAGUUUAAUACCAUUUAUGAUUAUUAUUUUAAUGUUUGCAUUUACAAAUAUUUUUUAAUAUGAAAUUUUCAGGCGGAAAUGGAUGGUCGGAGGGUUUCUUCUCUUUCUUUGCUAUUUCUGAUGAUGAAAUCAUAUGUGACAAUCUUGAUCUUCUCGUUGUUCCUCAAUACGGGAGAAAUCCUGACUAUAGUGGUUAAGUGUAAUGCUACUCUUUUGUAUUAUGUUUAAUAAAUUAAAUAAAGGACAUGUACUUUUAGUAUCCAUGUCAGUUAAUUUGUUUUAAUUCAAUUAUUAAGAUUUAUGGAGAUGUACAAGAGAUUUUCUUAUUUACGUCUACGUAUAUUUUAUCUUUAUUAAUAAAUAAAACUAUUGUC